rnacentral:tRNA from 1 species
GGACUCGUAGCUCAAUGGUCAGAGCGCUCGGUUCACAUCCGAGAGGUCGAUGGUUCGAUCCCAUCCGAGUCCACCA